rnacentral:rRNA from 1 species
UACGUAGGGUCCGAGCGUUGUCCGGAAUUAUUGGGCGUAAAGAGCUCGUAGGCGGUUCGUCGCGUCUGCUGUGAAAGCCCGAGGCUCAACCUCGGGUCUGCAGUGGGUACGGGCGGACUUGAGUGCGGUAGGGGAGACUGGAAUUCCUGGUGUAGCGGUGGAAUGCGCAGAUAUCAGGAGGAACACCGAUGGCGAAGGCAGGUCUCUGGGCCGUAACUGACGCUGAGGAGCGAAAGCGUGGGGAGCGAACAGG